CCUACGGGCGGCAGCAGUGAGGAAUAUUGGUCAAUGGACGAGAGUCUGAACCAGCCAAGUAGCGUGAAGGAUGACUGCCCUAUGGGUUGUAAACUUCUUUUAUAAAGGAAUAAAACGAGGCACGUGUGCCUUUUUGCAUGUACUUUAUGAAUAAGGCUCGGCUAACUCCGUGCCAGCAGCCGCGGUAAUACGGAGGAUCCGCGCGUUAUCCGGAUUUAUUGGGUUUAAAGGGAGCGUAGAUGGGUUGUUAAGUCAGUUGUGAAAGUUUGCGGCUCAACCGUAAAAUUGCAAUUGAUACUGGCAGUCUUGAGUACAGUUGAGGUAGGCGGAAUUCGUGGUGUAGCGGUGGAAUGCUUAGAUAUCACGAAGAACCCCGAUUGCGAAGGCAGCUUACUAAACUGUGACUGACAUUGAUGCUCGAAAGUGUGGGUAUCAAACAGGAUUAGAUACCCCAGUAGUC
rnacentral:rRNA from 1 species